UACGGGGGGCGCAAGCGUUGUUCGGAUUUACUGGGCGUAAAGGGCGCGUAGGCGGCCACCGCAAGUCGACUGUGAAAUCUCCGGGCUUAACCCGGAACGGUCAGCCGAUACUGCGGGGCUAGAGUGCAGAAGGGGCAACUGGAAUUCUCGGUGUAGCGGUGAAAUGCGUAGAUAUCGAGAGGAACACCUGCGGCGAAGGCGGGUUGCUGGGCUGACACUGACGCUGAGGCGCGAAAGCUAGGGGAGCGAACGGG
rnacentral:rRNA from 1 species